rnacentral:rRNA from 1 species
AACGAACGCUAGCGGCAGGCUUAACACAUGCAAGUCGAACGCAUGCCUUCGGGCAUGAGUGGCAGACGGGUGAGUAACGCGUGGGAACCUACCCCUUGGUACGGGAUAGCUCCGGGAAACUGGAGAUAAUACCGUAUGUGUCCUGAGGGACAAAGAUUCAUCGCCAAGGGAUGGGCCCGCGUCGGAUUAGCUAGUUGGUGGGGUAACGGCCUACCAAGGCGACGAUCCGUAGCUGGUCUAAGAGGAUGAUCAGCCACAUUGGGACUGAGACACGGCCCAAACUCCUACGGGAGGCAGCAGUGGGGAAUAUUGGACAAUGGGCGCAAGCCUGAUCCAGCCAUGCCGCGUGAGUGAUGAAGGCCCUAGGGUUGUAAAGCUCUUUCACCGGUGACGAUAAUGACGGUAACCGGAGAAGAAGCCCCGGCUAACUUCGUG